rnacentral:misc_RNA from 1 species
GUGAAUUGCCUGGGGUUUGAGAUACGCACGCUACACAACGUGCCUCUCCCCCAAUCCACUAUUUAUCCACAAACCCUGUGCACCGUGUGGAAGCGCGUUUGGAUUGCUUAAUGGCGUCCGGGCGCCUUCCUUCUCUAAAAACACGCAUGUUUGUAUGAACGUGAUUGAUGUUGGUUCACAACCAACGAACAAAACA